CAACAAACAAGAAGGCUGAACCUCUAGCUUUAAAGACAGACAGGAGGUCAUGUUUUCUUUUUUGUCUGUUUCCAUUCCAACAAACAAGAAGGCUGAACCUCUAGCUUUAAAGACAGACAGGAGGUCAUGUUUUCUUUGUCUGUUUCCAUUCCAACAAACAGGAAGGCUGAACCUCUAGCUUUAAAGACAGACAGGAGGUCAUGUUUUUUUGGAAGUUGCAAAGGCUUUUAAAAAAUGUUUUAAACCCAAAUACAGCAGUUUGAGUAUGAUUGAGUGUCCAUGUUGAUACGAUAAGCUUCAAAAGGAGUGCAUUGUGUUCAUGCUUAAUCAUGUUUGUUUGUUUUUAACUUGUUUCAAAAGACAUGUUAUUGUGUUGAUAUUAUUGUUUCUGUUCAAGCUUUAGCUGACGAGCCUGUAGCCCUAAGGAACAUCAGCAUUACCAGGGAAACCGCCUGCCUGCUGCUUGUGCCUUGGCCAUAGUCUGUUUGUCCCAAUAUGUUAGAGAUCACAUAUAGCACUUAAUUGGUCAACCAUUGACUUUAUUACAUUAUGAUUUCUUUACCUGUGUAACUAUUUAAAAUUACCCAACAAAUCUUGCUUAACGAACCCUGAUGAGCAGAGGAGGGGUAGUUUGAUAUGUUAUAUUGGAACCCUGGUGAGCAGAGGGGGGUAGUUCGACAUGUUAUAUUGGAACCCUGGUGAGCAGAGGAGCGGUAGUUCGACAUGUUAUAUUGGAACCCUGGUGAGCAGAGGAGCGGUAGUUCGACAUGUUAUAUUGGAACCCUGGUGAGCAGAGGGGGGGUAGGUCGACAUGUCGGCAUCCUGGUUGCAUCAGUGCCUGGUAUGGCAACUGCUCGGCCUUCGACCGCAAGGCACUACAAGAGGGUGUACGGCCCAGUACAUCACUGGGACCAAGCUUCCUGCCAUCCAGGACCUCUAUACCAGGCAGUGUCAGAGGAAGGCCCUAAAAAUGGUCAAAGACUCCAGCCCCCUAGUCAUAGACUGUUCUCUCUGCUACCGCACGGCAAGCGGUACCAGAUCUCCAUGUAUAGGUCCAAAAGGCUUCUCAACAGCUUCUACCCCCAAGCCAUAAGACUCCUGAACAUCUAAUCAAAUGGCUACCCAGACUAUUUGCAUUGUCCCCCCAUCCCCUCUUUUACGCUGCUGCUGCUCUCUGUUUAUUAUCUAUGCAUAGUCACUUUAACUCUACCUACAUGUACAUAUUACCUCAAUUACCUGGACUAACCGGUGCUCCCGCACAUUGACUCUGUACCUGUAACCCCUGUAUAGAGCCUCGCUAUUGUUAUCUACUGCUGCUCUUUAAUUAUUUGUUACUUUUCUUUCUUAUUUUUUACUUAACGUAUUUUUCUUAAAACAUUGUUGGUUAAGGGCUUGUAAGUAAGUAUUUCACUGUAAGGUUGUUACCUGUUGUAUUUGGUGUAUGUGACAAAUAACAUGUGAUUUGAUUUGAUUCAACACUGACCAACUUUGAGCGACUUUAACACUGACCACUUUAACACUGACUGACUUGCAUCCAGACUCUGAUACUGGUUAGUUAGCAUGUUUCCACUGUUUGUUUUCUUUUCUCUUCCUUCUCCCUCAUCACUCUUUCUCAGGAGACUCUGUUCCCACAACACCCUUAUGUAACUGCCUGCAUUACUCUCUCUCUCUCUCUCUCGCCCCUUACCCAUCCACUAUCAGUGUCUGUGUCCUCAGAGCGCGCUCCUGGCCUAGUCUCUGAUUGGCUCUGACAAAGUAAACAUGGCUGCCAUCAGAGCCCUUGUAAGUGGAGGAAGAAGGAGGGGGAGAUAUGGAAAUCACUAGAUGGCCACGCUAGAAACGACAUCAGCUAUUUCACAUGACCUGUUGAGAUAGUACAUGAGCUAUCUGCUCUGAAUCUACAUCUAGGGUUAUGUCUAAGAUUAGGAUAUAGGUUCAUGGUUAAAGUAAGAGGUUAGACAAAACAUAGUAAAUAUAAAUCUGACACUCUUUAGUAUGAUAUGUUACGUUUGGUGUUACAUAAGAGAGAAGUUUACUUAAUGCAAAAACAAAAGUAGGGUGGAUGGAUGGACAUAUAACACUAAAGUUUAGCAACCGAAGGUUGCGUGUUUGUAUCUCAUCACAGACAACUUUAGUAUUUUAGCUAAUGAGAAACUUUGCAUCUACUUAAUACUUUUUAACAACUUUACAAUUACUUAGCGUGUCAGCUAACCCUUCCCCUAAACCAGCGGGCGGUUCCCAAACUAGGGGUUGGGAGAAUUUCCAAAAUCCAGAUGAAAAUAAAUAUACACACAGUACCAGUCAAAUGUUUGGACACCCCUACUCAUUCAAGGGUUUUUCUUUAUUUUUACUAUUUUCUAUAUUGUAGAAUAAUAGUGAAGACAUCAAAACUUUGAAAUAACACAUAUGGAAUGUAGUAACCAAAUGAGUGUUAUACAAAUAAAAAACACUUUCGAUUUUAGAUUCUUCAAAGUAGCAACCAUUUGCCUUGAUGACAGCUUUGCACAUGCUUGGCAUUCUCUCAACCUGCUUCAUGAGGAAUGUUUUUCCAACACUCUCCAAGGAGUUCCCACAUAUGCUUAGCACUUGUUGGCGGCUUUUCCUUCACUCUGCGGUCCAAGUCAUCCUCAACCAUCUCCUCCUCCAUGCUUCACGGUGGGAACCACACAUGCAGAAAUCAUCUGUUCACCUACUCUGCAUCUCACAAAGACAGCAGUUGGAACCAAAAAUAGCAACUUUGGACUGAUCAGACCAAAGGACAGAUUUCCACCAGUCUAAUGCCCAUUGGUUGUGUUUCUUGGCCCAGGCAAGUCUCUUCUUAUUAUUGGUGUCUUGAAAUGUUCUUGAAAUGUUCCGGAUUGACUGACCUUCAUGUCUUAAGUUAAUAAUGGGCUGUCGUUUCUCUUUGCUUAUUUGAGCUGUUCUUUUCAAAAUACGGACUUGGUCUUUUACCAAAUAGGGCUAUCUUCUGUAUACCACCCCUACCUUGUCACAACACAACUGAUUGGCUAAAAGGCAUUAAAACUUCUUAGGGAUAGGAGUCCCGCUUAAAUUCUUGUUACUUUAACUGCACUGUCCGAUUUACAGUAGCUAUUACAGCAAAAACAUGCCAUGUGAUUGUUUGAGGUUGGCGUCCCACAUCAAAAUAUUUUUCCACCUGCACAGGUUUCAUACAUUCACAAAUAACGAUUAAAUAUUCACUUACUUUUUGAAAAUCUUCCUCUGAUAUGUCAUCCAAAGGGUCCCAGCUAUAACAUGUAGUGUCGUUUUGUUAGAUAAAAUCCUUCUUUAUAUCCCAAAAAAUCUGUUUAGUUGGUGCCAUCGAUUUGAGUUAUCCACUCGUUCAACGUGCGGAAAAAGGAAUCCAAAAAUCUACCCCUAAACUUUGUUUCAACAAGUCAAAAUCUGUUUCUAUUGAAACCUCGGAUACCCUAAAAUGUAAUCAAACUAUCAUUUUUCUUACGGAAAGAAGUAUGCUCAAUAGGAAAUAGAUUUAGCAGGUGCGUAUUGUCUUCAUGGCACGCGCAAACACGAAUUUCCAAGACUGUGUCCUUUUGCUAAAACGGAUAUUUCUUAUUCGUUUUUGAAGUUACAAGCCUGAAACCCUGAACAUAGACUGCUGACACCCUGUGGAAGCCAUAGGAAUUACAUCCAGGGAGCUCAUUUUCAAUAUGACCUUACUGUAACGUUCUGACCUUAGUUCCUUUGUUUUGUUUUAGUAUGGUCAAGGUGUGAGUUGGGGUGGGCAGUCUAUGUUUGUUUUUCUAGGUUGAUUUUUGAGUUUGGCCUGGUAUGGUUCUCAAUCAGAGGCAGGUGUCGUAAGUUGUCUCUGAUUGAGAAUCAUACUUAGGUAGCCUUUUUCCAUCUGUGUUUUGUGGGUGUUUAUUUUCUGUUUUGUGUGUCAUCACUAGACAGGACUGUUUCGUUUGUUCGUUCUUCCUAGUUGUUAUUUUGUUUAGUGUUCAGUUUUGCUUAUAUUAAAUAUCAUGAACACUUACCACGCUGCACCUUGGUCCUCACCUUCUUCCACCGACGACGGCCGUUGCACUUACUCUUGCAUUUCUAUUCUCCUACAAUAUUUUAACAUUUCUACAAACUUCAAAGUGUUUUCUUUCAAAUGGUACUAAUCAAAUCAAAUCACAUUUAUUUAUAUAGCCCUUCGUACAUCAGCUGAUAUCAGCUAAUUAUAUGCAUAUCCUGGCUUCAGGGCCUGAGCUACAGGCAGUUUACUUUGGGCAUGACAGGAAGUGGAGG
ensembl:lncRNA